AGCAUUCUCUGGUGUUGAAGGCCCUGCAAAGCAGCAUCGCGGUGGCGGAGCGUCGUUUGCGACGCCCAACACACAAAACAAGCGGUGAGUGCUUUGGGGUGGGGUGACUGCGUACCUUUUGUAUAAUGGGUCAGCGACUUAUAUUCUGUAGCAAGGUUAACCGAAUAGGGGAGCCGGAGGGAAACCGAGUCUUAAUUGGGCGUUAAGUUGCAGGGUAUAGACCCGAAACCCGGUGAUCUAGCCAUGGGCAGGUUGAAGGUUGGGUAACACUAACUGGAGGACCGAACCGACUAAUGUUGAAAAAUUAGCGGAUGACCUGUGGCUGGGGGUGAAAGGCCAAUCAAACCGGGAGAUAGCUGGUUCUCCCCGAAAGCUAUUUAGGUAGCGCCUCGUGAAUUCAUCUCCGGGGGUAGAGCACUGUUUCGGCUAGGGGGCCAUCCCGGCUUACCAACCCGAUGCAAACUGCGAAUACCGGAGAAUGUUAUCACGGGAGACACACGGCGGGUGCUAACGUCCGUCGUGAAGAGGGAAACAACCCAGACCGCCAGCUAAGGUCCCAAAGUCAUGGUUAAGUGGGAAACGAUGUGGGAAGGCCCAGACAGCCAGGAUGUUGGCUUAGAAGCAGCCAUCAUUUAAAGAAAGCGUAAUAGCUCACUGGUCGAGUCGGCCUGCGCGGAAGAUGUAACGGGGCUAAACCAUGCACCGAAGCUGCGGCAGCGACACUGUGUGUUGUUGGGUAGGGGAGCGUUCUGUAAGCCUGUGAAGGUGGCCUGUGAGGG
rnacentral:rRNA from 1 species